ensembl:lncRNA
AUAUGACUGACCGCUGUGGUGAGAUCAUAUAUGACAGACAGCUGUGGUGAGAUCAUAUAUGACAGACAGGUGUGGUGAGAUCAUAUAUGACAGACAGCUGUGGUGAGAUCAUAUAUGACAGACAGCUGUGGUGAGAUCAUAUAUGACAGACAGGUGUGGUGAGAUCAUAUAUGACAGACAGCUGUGGUGAGAUCAUAUAUGACAGACAGCUGUGGUGAGAUCAUAUAUGACAGACAGGUGUGGUGAGAUCAUAUAUGACAGACAGGUGUACUGUCAUCUCCAAGAACUUGAGUGGACAAUGUGUUGACUUGGUCAGUCCUCUGGCAUAGGGGCUGGACACAUCAAUAUUCCCUCUUCUACCCUGCUCUGAUGCCCGCAUGCUCAGCAGCAUUAGAUAAUGCAGUAUAGUGGUUGUUCUGGUUUCUACAGUAACACAGGUGUUAAAGGAGAUGUGAGUGAAAUAACAUAUUAUUCUUCUCCCCUCAACCCUUCACUCCUCCUCCCCAUCCUCUAUCCUUCUCCUCUACCCAUGUACUCCUCUGUUUCUAUCACUCCUCCUCCCCAUCCUCUCUCCUUCUCCUCUACCCAUGUACUCCUCUGUUUCUAUCACUCCUCCUCUUUCCAUUCUCUUAAUGAUCUUCCUGAAUCCAUCUGAAUGUGUUUUUCUAAGAUAAGUCAAUGGCACAUCCACAAUUGGAUAACUAUUUAUUUUUGUAUGGAAGAGAAAUCAGAGGAACGAGUCUAUAGAGGGAGAGAGAGACAGAGAGAAAGAUUCCGGCCCAGUCAUGUUGGAUUGCAAAUUCGAAUCAAGCUGCUCAGAAGCAAUUUCAAUUAAUCUGUGUGUGCAUUGGAGCCACAUGCUUUGUCUUGUAGCCAAUCCCACUUGGCUUAUCAGACACAAUUUGUGGUGGAUGUCCACACACACACACUCCACUGUUAUGGCCUGGCAGCCAAGAUGGCACUUCAUCCAACACUACUAAAUGUUAUUCACUUUUAUUGAGAUUGACAUUUUAGCUGUCCAGGUUGUUGAAGUAGAGUUUCCUAUAAGGACUGUACCACAUUAUUCCAUUUCCAUCUUAUUGUCACCAUUAUCAUUACUUACACUCUGAAGGACUGUACCACUUCAUAGAGAGAGAGAGAGAGAGAGAGAGAGAGAGAGAGAGAGAGAGAGAGAGAGAGAGAGAGAGAGAGAGAGAGAGAGAGAGAGAGAGAGAGAGAGAGAGAGAGAGAGAGAGAGAGAGAGAGAGAGAGAGAGAGAGAGAGAGAGAGAGAGAGAGAGAUUUGUAUACACAAUAUAACCAUUCUCCAUGUUCCGUACUGUAUGUAUUCCUGGUCCAGUGCUGCUGUGUUUAGGGAAUGAUGACAUAUUGAAGGGUUUAUUUGCAUAAAGAUCUACUGUAUAAGGCUAGGUACACGAUCCAUGUGUCUGGUCCUGACUGUGCUGCUUUGGGAGAUACGGGAGAAACGUAUCUAUAGGUUGUGUAUUAAGGCUUAUUGAAAGGGCUCCAUAAUGACUUCAUAUGCAUAACACCUUUUUCAACCAAUCACCUCUAUCUAACAACAUCAACAAACCUCAUGAUCAACCUCAGGCAUUAUUACUAUGUGUGGUAUGAGGUAUUUGUGCUCGCUGUUCAAAUCUGUUUCUAUUUUCUCUUCUUGUUUGUCUUCCCACUUCCUCAACCAAUCAAUCGAAUGUAUUUAUAAAGCCCUUUCUACAUCAGCUGAUAUCUCAAAGUGCUGUACAGAAACCCUGCCCUAAAACCCCAAACAGCAAGAUGCAGAUGUAGAAGUACGGUGGCUAGGAAGAACUCCCUAGAAAGGCACAACGCAUGUUGAGCCCUAAAUGUUGACUCCUCCCCCAGCUAAACAGUGACACAGCCUACUGUAUCUGAUUUAAUAUCACUUUGUACAAUUGAACAGUAAACGCAACCUCCGGAUUUUUCAUCGCUUCCUUUCCGUUCACCAAACUGAAACUGUGCAGUAAUGAAGAAAUAUAAAGAUUGAAUGAUGAACAUGUGUAAAAUGUAUUGUAAAUAUCAAGCCAGAUGGCAAUAUAAACCAUGGUAAUCUCCCACGGGAAUAGAACAAAAGAGAUGUUAGAGAGAAGAGAAAGGAAACUCUAGAAUGUUAAACCCAUGUUGUCCUUCACCAACCCUUCCUUGGUAGCUUUGCUGCAGUACCUGACUCCGUUGUAAAAUGUAUUGUUUGAAAAUAAAAAAUACAUUGAAAUUGUUUAUGAG